rnacentral:rRNA from 1 species
CGAACCGUGCGAACGUUAUUCGGAAUCACUGGGCUUAAAGCGCGUGUAGGCGGGGCGGCACGUCGGUCGCUGAAAGCCCCCGGCUCAACCGGGGAACGGGCGCCGAUACGACCGCCCUCGAGGGACGUAGGGGGACCUGGAACUUCCGGUGGAGCGGUGAAAUGCGUUGAGAUCGGAAGGAACGCCCGUGGCGAAAGCGAGGUCCUGGACGUCUGCUGACGCUGAGACGCGAAAGCCAGGGGAGCGAACGGG